rnacentral:lncRNA from 1 species
GUUCUUUGCUUUUUCCGGUGGGUGUACAUGUUUAUGAGGUGAUUAAAAGUUUGUUAUUAUGUAUCGUUAUACAUACAAGUUAAUUCUGUUCAUUCUGUGUUGAUUUAGCUCAAUUGAAAAAAAAAUCUUAAUUUUUGUAGUCGUAACUUUUUGACAUUGUUCAUGUUGUUCCUGAUUUGAUUUUUUGGGUGUAUUUGAUUUAUGAUAAUUAAGUAAUUGUUACAGAAUGAUUUUAUUUGUUAUGAAAUACCUUUUUUUCAAUGAAAUUGCAGUCCAUAAAUAUAAAGUAUUGACUUCAUAAAGUUAAGCAUAUUCCUCUUUUUU